GCUAAUACCGUAUGCGUCCUUUGGGACAAAGAUUUAUCGCCAUGGGAUGGGCCCGCGUAGGAUUAGCUUGUUGGUGGGGUAACGGCCUACCAAGGCAACGAUCCUUAGCUGGUCUGAGAGGAUGAUCAGCCACACUGGGACUGAGACACGGCCCAGACUCCUACGGGAGGCAGCAGUGGGGAAUAUUGGACAAUGGGCGGAAGCCUGAUCCAGCAACGCCGCGUGAGGGAUGACGGCCUUCGGGUUGUAAACCUCUUUCAGCAGGGACGAAGCGGAAGUGACGGUACCUGCAGAAGAAGCACCGGCCAACUACGUGCCAGCAGCCGCGGUAAUACGUAGGGUG
rnacentral:rRNA from 1 species